rnacentral:rRNA from 1 species
UACGUAGGGUGCAAGCGUUGUCCGGAAUUAUUGGGCGUAAAGAGCUCGUAGGCGGUUUGUCGCGUCUGCUGUGAAAACCCGAGGCUCAACCUCGGGCCUGCAGUGGGUACGGGCAGGCUAGAGUUCGGUAGGGGAGACUGGAAUUCCUGGUGUAGCGGUGAAAUGCGCAGAUAUCAGGAGGAACACCGGUGGCGAAGGCGGUUCUCUGGGAAUUACCUGACGCUGAGGAGCGAAAGCAUGGGGAGCGAACAGG